ACGCCCCAAUCAGGCCCCAGCUGGCCUGUAUAAAAAGGCUGUGAGCCAGCGGCCCAAGGAGCCUCUCUCCAGGCUGUGAGAGAGCAGGGCUUGCUUGACAGGGUACUGAGGGUGGUGCAGUGCUGGGGAAGGAGCAGGCUGUGUGGGGCACUCUAGGCUGUAGGGCCUGGUCCAAGGCCCAAAGAGGUACAGGAAGGCAACAGGUCUGAACCCCCUUGCCUAUUAUGAGUGGCCUUUACACUGCAGUCUGCCUCAGGGAGCGGGGGCUUGCUGAUGACAAUAGCCCAGGCUGAGGCAAGGUGGGGAUAGUGGGUUGGGGGUUUCCCAGGAAGGGGAGACCCAGAGGCAGAGUGUGGGGGUACUGCCAGGGGGCAGAACUCCAGAGAAAGGGGCACUGGGAUCUAUGAGGGCUAGAGCUGUGUGGAUCACUGGCCUACAGAGGGUGCUCCAGGCUGGAAAAGAGCUAAUUCCCAAGGAUGACCAACAGGAGGUGCUGCAGGGGUGAGUCUGCUCCUUUACACUUGGCAUCUUGAGACUUCGGGUAACUGCUUGGAAACUUUGUGCAGCCUGCCCGAAUUUCUGCUCUCCUUUAGCUCACAGGAGAGGAGGAGGAGCUGGGCUGCCCAGGGAACCUACAGAGAAUCUUCGGGCUCAGCUCUGAUCUCCUGCACACCAGUGACACUCCACUGACUUUGCUAGGGUUACUCCUGAUUUACACUGGCACAAGAGCAGAAUCUGGCUCAUAGGUUCUAAGGAUUCAGUUCCUUUUGUUGCCCUUUUUUCAUGCCCUGUUUGAAGCAGUUAUGCCAGAAAAGUACUAUUAUAAGAAAAAUUGGAAUAAACCUAGUUUAAUUUGCAUUAA